AUUGAACGCUGGCGGCAUGCCUUACACAUGCAAGUCGAGCGAGCGGCGGACGUGUGAGUAAUGUAUGGGCACCUGCGCGAUGGAGGGGUAUACCUAAUCGAAACUGUUGCUAAUACCGCACACUACUGGCUGUACCCAUAUGGGUUUAGCUAGUAGGUGGGGUAAAGGCUCACCUAGGCGACGAUCCAUAGCUGGUCUGAGAGGAUGACCAGCCACACUGGGACUGAGACACGGCCCAGACUCCUACGGGAGGCAGCAGUGGGGAAUAUUGCGCAAUGGGCGAAAGCCUGAUCCAGCCAUGCCGCGUGAGUGAAGAAGGCCUUAGGAUUGUAAAGUACUUUCGGCAGAGAAGCGGUACCCACAGAGGAAGCACCGGCUAACUCCGUGCCAGCCGCCGCGGUAAUAC
rnacentral:rRNA from 1 species